rnacentral:rRNA from 1 species
GAUGAACGCUGGCGGCGUGCCUAAUACAUGCAAGUCGAGCGAACGGACGAGAAGCUUGCUUCUCUGAUGUUAGCGGCGGACGGGUGAGUAACACGUGGAUAACCUACCUAUAAGACUGGGAUAACUUCGGGAAACCGUAGCUAAUACCGGAUAAUAUUUUGAACCGCAUGGUUCAAAAGUGAAAGACGGUCUUGCUGUCACUUAUAGAUGGAUCCGCGCUGCAUUAGCUAGUUGGUAAGGUAACGGCUUACCAAGGCAACGAUGCAUAGCCGACCUGAGAGGGUGAUCGGCCACACUGGAACUGAGACACGGUCCAGACUCCUACGGGAGGCAGCAGUAGGGAAUCUUCCGCAAUGGGCGAAAGCCUGACGGAGCAACGCCGCGUGAGUGAUGAAGGUCUUCGGAUCGUAAAACUCUGUUAUUAGGGAAGAACAUAUGUGUAAGUAACUGUGCACAUCUUGACGGUACCUAAUCAGAAAGCCACGGCUAACUACGUGCCAGCAGCCGCGGGUAUACGUAAGUGCCAAGCGUUAUCCCGAAAUAUUGGGCGUAAAGCGCGCGUAGCGGUUUUUUAGUCUGAUGUGAAAGCCCACGGCUCAACCGUGGAGGGUCAUUGGAAACUGGAAAACUUGAGUGCAGAAGAGGAAAGUGGAAUUCCAUGUGUAGCGGUGAAAUGCGCAGAGAUAUGGAGGAACACCAGUGGCGAAGGCGACUUUCUGGUCUGUAACUGACGCUGAUGUGCGAAAGCGUGGGGAUCAAACAGGAUUAGAUACCCUGGUAGUCCACGCCGUAAACGAUGAGUGCUAAGUGUUAGGGGGUUUCCGCCCCUUAGUGCUGCAGCUAACGCAUUAAGCACUCCGCCUGGGGAGUACGACCGCAAGGUUGAAACUCAAAGGAAUUGACGGGGACCCGCACAAGCGGUGGAGCAUGUGGUUUAAUUCGAAGCAACGCGAAGAACCUUACCAAAUCUUGACAUCCUUUGACAACUCUAGAGAUAGAGCCUUCCCCUUCGGGGGACAAAGUGACAGGUGGUGCAUGGUUGUCGUCAGCUCGUGUCGUGAGGUGUUGGGUUAAGUCCCGCAACGAGCGCAACCCUUAAGCUUAGUUGCCAUCAUUAAGUUGGGCACUCUAAGUUGACUGCCGGUGACAAACCGGAGGAAGGUGGGGAUGACGUCAAAUCAUCAUGCCCCUUAUGAUUUGGGCUACACACGUGCUACAAUGGACAAUACAAAGGGCAGCGAAACCGCGAGGUCAAGCAAAUCCCAUAAAGUUGUUCUCAGUUCGGAUUGUAGUCUGCAACUCGACUACAUGAAGCUGGAAUCGCUAGUAAUCGUAGAUCAGCAUGCUACGGUGAAUACGUUCCCGGGUCU